rnacentral:rRNA from 1 species
CCUACGUGUGACAGCAGUGAGGAAUAUUGGUCAAUGGGCGCGAGCCUGAACCAGCCAAGUAGCGUGAAGGAUGACUGCCCUACGGGUUGUAAACUUCUUUUAUAAAGGAAUAAAGUGAGGCACGUGUGCCUUUUUGUAUGUACUUUAUGAAUAAGGAUCGGCUAACUCCGUGCCAGCAGCCGCGGUAAUACGGAGGAUCCGAUCGUUAUCCGGAUUUAUUGGGUUUAAAGGGAGCGUAGAUGGGUUGUUAAGUCAGUUGUGAAAGUUUGGGGCUCAACCGUAAAAUUGCAAUUGAUACUGGCAGUCUUGAGUACAGUUGAGGUAGGCGGAAUUCGUGGUGUAGCGGUGAAAUGCUUAGAUAUCACGAAGAACUCCGAUUGCGAAGGCAGCUUACUAAACUGCCACUGACAUUGAUGCUCGAAAGUGUGGGUAUCAAACAGGAUUAGAUACCCCAGUAGUC